rnacentral:rRNA from 1 species
GAUGAACGCUGGCGGCGUGCCUAAUACAUGCAAGUCGAGCGAACAGACGAGGAGCUUGCUCCUCUGACGUUAGCGGCGGACGGGUGAGUAACACGUGGAUAACCUACCUAUAAGACUGGGAUAACUUCGGGAAACCGGAGCUAAUACCGGAUAAUAUAUUGAACCGCAUGGUUCAAUAGUGAAAGACGGUUUUGCUGUCACUUAUAGAUGGAUCCGCGCCGCAUUAGCUAGUUGGUAAGGUAACGGCUUACCAAGGCAACGAUGCGUAGCCGACCUGAGAGGGUGUUCGGCCACACUAGAACUGAGACACGGUCCAGACUCCUACGGGCGGCAGCAGUAGGGAAUCUUCCGCAAUGGGCGAAAGCCUGACGGAGCAACGCCGCGUGAGUGAUGAAAGUCUUCGGAUCUUAAACCUCUGUUAUUAGGGAAGGCCAAAUGUGUAAGUAACUAUGCACGUCUUGACGGUACCUACUCAGAAAGCCACGGCUAACUACGUG